rnacentral:rRNA from 1 species
GACGAACGCUGGCGGCGUGCCUAAUACAUGCAAGUAGAACGCUGAAGGAGGAGCUUGCUUCUCUGGAUGAGUUGCGAACGGGUGAGUAACGCGUAGGUAACCUGCCUGGUAGCGGGGGAUAACUAUUGGAAACGAUAGCUAAUACCGCAUAAUAGUAGAUGUUGCAUGACAUUUGCUUAAAAGGUGCAAUUGCAUCACUACCAGAUGGACCUGUGUUGUAUUAGCUAGUUGGUGAGGUAACGGCUCACCAAGGCGACGAUACAUAGCCGACCUGAGAGGGUGAUCGGCCACACUGGGACUGAGACACGGCCCAGACUCCUACGGGAGGCAGCAGUAGGGAAUCUUCGGCAAUGGACGGAAGUCUGACCGAGCAACGCCGCGUGAGUGAAGAAGGUUUUCGGAUCGUAAAGCUCUGUUGUAAGAGAAGAACGAGUGUGAGAGUGGAAAGUUCACACUGUGACGGUAGCUUACCAGAAAGGGACGGCUAACUACGUG